UAGCAGCGACUGCCUCUCCUCGCUGCCUGGUGCCGGCAUCCUGGUUCGGCCGGAGCUGGGAGCUGGAGGAUCUGGCCGUCUGAGGUUUGCUGCUACCUGCUGCUUCUGCUGGACUGAGUUGACUGUCACGUGACCGGUUCUGAUCUCGAGUCCGACUGCACGGAAGGCGGUCUUUUCGUUCCCCGCCAUGAUUGGAGGCGGAUGUGUUGCGGGUGCUCCGGAUUUUGGUACCGUGGCUCGGUUGCCCCCGAUUCGGGGAGGACAAGCUGUGGAGCUUGUUUGUGGAGGCUGCCCUGGUGGCCUCGUGAGUUCGGUCGCCGUGGUCGUUUGGCAGCGCGCCAGAGACGGGAUAAGCCGGUAUGUUAUCACUAAAAAUGCUCAUUGUCUAUCUUUGCUUUGAAUUUCGAUACCUCAACGUCUGCUGUGUAUUGCUUGAUUUAUUUACUUACUUGUAGAAUGUUAAACAGAGUUCUUGGACCCC
rnacentral:misc_RNA from 1 species